CUCGCCAUCUCGUUAUUUACAUGCCUGUCCAUUGUUCUUCGUAGGACUACACGGUUCUGUCAGGGAAUAUUUUUUUUUUAUCUGUCGCCCAUUUUUUUUCGGUCUGAAGAAAAGCCGUUGUUGAUGCACCUGCUUGGAUUUUUCUUCAUUCACGAGCUUGGAGGCGAUGAUGUAUAUGAAGAGGCUCAUGAUGCUGGCUACGUGAAUGGACUACGGUCAGGUUUGUGCUUUUCUGUCUGUCGGAGAUGUUUUUCGCGUGGAGAAAUUUUAGAGGCUGUGCGCUGAGCGAUUCGAGGGUUUUGGAGUCAACAGUCACCCAUCCUGGAUGAUGCAUGGCGAGUUUAUCUUACGUUGCGAUCUGGAGCUUGGUCUGAAAGUGAUCCAUGAGCCUUUACUAUUACCGAUAUCAACAUGUCCCCGGCAUCGGCUGCGACAGCGAGUGAAAGCAGCACUACCACCGUUCCCGAGGAGGACGCGGAGAGUCCCCGCGAGGAGCAGCGGCCCGUGAAGCAGUCCCUGAGCAAGUCGCUGUGCCGCGAGUCGCACUGGAAAUGCCUGGUGCUGUCGCUGCUCAUGUACUGCUGCGUGGGCGCCAUGGCCUGGUGCCAGGUGACCACGGUGACGCGGCUCUCCUUCGACAGCGCCUACAAGGGCAAGUCCAUGAUGUACCACGACAGCCCGUGCGCCAACGGCUACGUCUACAUCCCGCUGGCCUUCCUGGCCAUGCUCUACGUGGUCUACCUGGUGGAGUGCUGGCACUGCCACAGCCGCAACGCGCUGCAGUUCAAGGUGGACGCGGACAGCGUGUCGGAGCGCGUGGGGCGCAUGCAGCAGGCCACGCCGUGCAUCUGGUGGAAGGCCAUCAGCUACCACUACGUGCGGCGCACGCGGCAGGUGACGCGCUACCGCAACGGCGACGCCUACACCACCACGCAGGUGUACCACGAGCGCGUCAACACGCACGUGGCCGAGGCGGAGUUUGACUACGGCAACUGCGGCGUCAAGGACAUCUCCAAGCGGCUGGCGGGCCUGGAGGGCUUCGCCGUGACGCGGCUGCGCUUCACCAAGUGCUUCAGCUUCGCCAACGUGGAGUCGGAGAACUCGUACCUGACGCAGCGCGCGCGCUUCUUCACCGAGAACGAGGGCCUGGACGACUACAUGGAGGCGCGCGAGGGCAUGCACCUGAAGAACGUGGACUUCAAGGAGUACGUGGUGGCCUUCGCCGACCCCGCGCGGCUGCCCUGGUACGCGUCGCACGGCGUCUUCUGGGCGGCGGCGGCGCUCACGCUCUCGUGGCCGCUGCGCGUGCUCGCCGAGUGCCGCACGGCGUGCGCCCACUACCACGUGGAGAAGCUGUUCGGCUUCGACUACGUGCCGGUCACGCCGGCGUGCGAGGAGCAGCCGCGGCCGGCCUUCUGCCACCACAACAUCCCGCGCGUCAACACCAUCGACAGCACCGAGCUGGAGUGGCACAUCCGCUCCAACCAGCAGCUGGUGCCCAGCUACUCCGAGGCCGUGCUCAUGGACCUGGCGCUGGGCAACGGCGGCGGAGGCGGCGGCGGAGGCAACAACACGUACGCCUCGUGCGGCGCGGUCGGCGGCAUGAGGAUCGGGAGCUUCGGCGGCUACCGGCAGAACUGCGAGCGCUGCCACCGGGCCAUCAGCAGCUCGUCCAUCUUCUCGCGGAGCGCGCUCAGCAUCUGUGCCGGCGGUGGCGGUGGCGGUGGCGGUGGAGGUGGUGGAGGUGGUGGAGGUGGUGUCAGCCCGCGUCUGCCCUUCAGCGCCAGCCGCUUCUCGCUCGGCCGCCUGUACGGCUCGCGCCGCAGCUGCCUCUGGCGGAGCCACAGCGGCGGCAGCCUCGGCGACCACGGCUGCCCGACCGAGAGCACGCGCUGCCUGGCCGGACCGUCGCUCUCCUCCGGCGCCGCCACCGACGGCGGCGCUACCGGCGAUGACGGCGCGCAGACGCCGGCUCCGCCGCCCUACCAGGACGCCCUCUACUUCCCCGUGCUCAUCGUGCACCGCAACGAGGGCUGCCUCAACCACGACCACCGCUCGCUGCACCGCAACGGCUCCUGCGUGGAGACUUCGUUAUGACGCCACAAGCAGACUGUGCUGAGGGAGGGUGAAUAACUAACGAGACGCUUGGAAGAAUGUAGAAGAGGAAAGGAGGAAGGAGGAAGAGCAACCCAUUGGGUUUAGGAGAGGAAUGUUUACUUUCCCAAGACAGCUUGACGUCUGUUUCCUUGGACAUGACAGAACUGGUGCAGUGUGAAUGAUGCCAAGCUCUUUUAUAAUACACACAAACUGUAAUGAUGACAAAGUUAAGUGUAAUGGCAUGUUAAUCAUUCAGGAUUUCUUUGUGUCAAGAUCAGUUAGAUAAAAAUGGAGGUCAUUCUUUCCUUUUCUGUUCAGCCAUGUUUUUUCUACUUCCAUAAUCUGAAGUUGUAUGCGCAAAGCCUGGCUCAAAUGCUGCCAUUUCUGGCAGCAACAGACAUUUUUUACUAAAUUUACUCUUUCACUGGUAGGUGUUUAUGGAUUGCUCAAUAAUAAAUGUGUUGGAAUAAAAAUUACAAGUCUGUAUGUAUGUCAACACUUUCAACACAAUGUUGCCUUUGCCGUCUGUUACAUACAGUAUACCAGUAAAACAACU